CACGUGCAGAGGCGGCGGGACGCGGGCAGGGGCGGGCGGCCUCCACGUGCUGCUGACGGCCCGGAAGGGGGCAGGAGGUGCUCAGGAUCUGGAAAUGUUGCUGCCCAGGGUCAGAACAAGAAUGGUAAGCACAGAGAAGUGCACUUUCCUGUCUAUUGUCCCAAACGUGUAACGUCUGGUCUGGGCACCACCUUUCUACUUCGCUCUGUCAGACCCUGUCCACAUCCAGCUGCUGAGGAAGUGGCAUCACAUCAGGGAACGGGCAAAACUGAAUGGAGAAACCAGGUGAAUCGCUGAUUGUUCCAGGCAGAAUGUAGGUGGUCGAAAGAUGGCAGAGUUACAGAAAAAUUCUGCAACAGGCAGUGGAAUGGAGAGGCAGCAAGUUGCCGAGGACGGCUGGGCUCUCAACUGCUGAACAAUGACAUCGUUUUCUCCAAGGGUUGAAAUCCAUGUCCAUGGCUGACAACCCGCCA